AUGCUCAGUUCACGAUGAGCUUCUCUCUCGAUCUAUUCAAUAUGGUGGUCAAUCAAGAAAUGUUUUUGCUUGCAAAAAGAUCGUAAAAUGUUGGCGCUACAAGCUCGGAAAAGAAGGAAGCAUCCAAACAAAUUCAUUUGUAACAUGGUGGAUAACAAAGUCCCUCCUUGAAAACCUACUUCAGUCAUUUGACGAUUAAAAGUCCAGCGAGAAAUGAAGUGAAAGGCGAUUUGAAAACCACGAGAUUGGUGGCGAUCGAAGGUGGACAGCAAGAUCGAAGCUCAGCAAGAUUGAAGAUUGUUCGAAGAAGAAGGAGUUCGCCGUUGACUAAAAGGUUUAUCUGAACAGCUAGUUGUCAAGAUGAAUGCGAAGACGCCCGGCCAAAUUCAAAAUGGCGAUGCCAAAGAAAACCAUCCACCUGGACCGUUCGCAGACCUUUCUGGGCAAGAUUGUUGUGCUGUCUGGUCAAAGUUAAGUAUUUUACUUUGAUGUUUGUGUGCCUUCGGCUAAUUGUUGGCCAGAAAUGACAAAAAGCCAUAUACAAUAUGAAAUAUUCUGCGUACAAGGUUAUCUAAAAUUUCGAACUUAAUUCUGCCUGCAAUGAUGAUAAUCUUUUACUGAAAAUUUAUGUCAUGAGCAACUUCCGCACCUAUAGACUGAAGCAGAACUGAACAUUUUGUCAUUAACGUUUAUCUCAACAGCCAGUUAUCAAGACGAACGUCAAGAGAACAGUUGAAAUAGAAAAUAGAAAUCAGUUCAAGACUCGCCGCCGCCGAAUUCAAAUGGCGAUCCCAUACACGUGGACCG
rnacentral:lncRNA from 1 species